rnacentral:rRNA from 1 species
AUGGAGAAAGUGGAAGGUUUGAUGCAGAAGUUGCGGUUGCCAGAAGCAGAGAAGAAGGGAGUCAAGAUCGGAAGGGGCGGGUUGAGGAGAACGGGAACGGAAGAUCCACAGGCGAUCGGUAAGGUUAUGUCCGACAAACCAGUAUAUGUGGAAGGUAUGAUUAAAUCCCUCGGAAGAGCGUGGUGUCCGAUCAAGGGAAUCAAGUGCAAGGAGUUAGAGGACAACACCUUUCUUUUCACCUUCUUGCAAGCAGCGGGGAAGAGGAAAGCAUUGGAGGAAGGGCCAUGGAUGGUGGGCAAGAACCUGAUUGUGAUGGUAGAUUUCGACCCAGCUAAAACGCUAGAAGAGUAUGAGUUCACUAUCAUCCCUAUUUGGGUCAGGGUGACCAAGAUGCCGCUAGGUUUCAUGAGUGAAGAAAACGGAGGGAUCAUUGGUGACGAGAUUGGCGAGUUCAUGGAGGUAACCAGGGGGAUGAUGAUAAUGUGGCUGGAAGUUUCCUUAGGCUGA